AAUAUUGGUCAAUGGGCGGGAGCCUGAACCAGCCAUGCCGCGUGCGGGACGAAGGCCCUAUGGGUCGUAAACCGCUUUUACACGGGAACAACCGCAGCUACGAGUAGCUGCCUGAGGGUACCGUGGGAAUAAGGAACGGCUAACUCCUGGCCAGCAGCCGCGGUAAUACGGAGGAUCCGAGCGUUAUCCGGAAUUAUUGGGUUUAAAGGGUGCGUAGGCGGCACUUUAAGUCAGCGGUGAAAGUUUUUGGCUUAACCAAAAAAUUGCCGUUGAUACUGUAGGGCUUGAAUUUUUGUGAAGUAACUAGAAUAUGUAGUGUAGCGGUGAAAUGCUUAGAUAUUACAUGGAAUACCGAUUGCGAAGGCAGGUCACUAACAAACGAUUGACGCUGAUGGACGAAAGCGUGGGUAGCGAACA
rnacentral:rRNA from 1 species